CUGGCGAAAGACUGGAUGUGGGUUUAAUCAGAUUUGAAAGAACCUGUGAAGAAAAUUUAAAUGCAUACCUGGCAUCCAUUGAAAGAGGAAUGGUGCCUGGUAAGGGGUUGUCUUUAACGCCAGUAUUUACAACACCCCUUGAUCGUACAAAGUUUCAUGCUAUUGAAAAAAAGAGACCAAACAACAGAUAACGAGCAUUAUAGAGGAAGGCAUCAGUGACAUUCACAAACAUGGCAACACUGACGAGGCGUUUGUUUUAGAGACUCAGUGGCAAAAAAUAAGAGGGAAAACUAAAAAUGAAAUGCUGAUGUUUUAUAAGGAAGUGGUAGUUGCUUUAGAGAAUGCUACAGCUGUUGAAAGUGACACAGAGGAUGAAGACGAAUGUACGGAGGACGAGUAACAGAAAUAAUUAUGUGAAUAUGUUUAUGGUAAUUCUUAAUUAUUACAAUUAUCAUUAUUAAAAAAACUCACCAUAAUGCACUAAAAAACGCUUAAGACAGACACUGGAAAAUUGAUAUGAAUCGUCUGAAGGUCACAAAACCCGUGUACAGGAAGUCCAAAACCCGUGUACAGGAAGUCAUAUGAUGGAAUAAAAUAAACAUUUUGAGAAAAAAACAAA
rnacentral:lncRNA from 1 species